rnacentral:rRNA from 1 species
UGGGGAAUAUUGGGCAAUGGGGGGCAACCCUGACCCAGCAACGCCGCGUGAGGGAAGAAGGUUUUCGGAUUGUAAACCUCUGUCCUUGGGGACGAAGAAGUGACGGUACCCAAGGAGGAAGCUCCGGCUAACUACGUGCCAGCAGCCGCGGUAAUACGUAGGGAGCGAGCGUUGUCCGGAAUUACUGGGCGUAAAGGGUGCGUAGGCGGUUUGGUAAGUCAGAUGUGAAAUACCCGGGCUUAACCCGGGGGCUGCAUCUGAUACUGUCAGACUUGAGUGCAGGAGAGGAAAGCGGAAUUCCUAGUGUAGCGGUGAAAUGCGUAGAUAUUAGGAGGAACACCAGUGGCGAAGGCGGCUUUCUGGACUGUAACUGACGCUGAGGCACGAAAGCGUGGGGAGCAAACAGGAUUAGAU